GUGAAAAGGACUUCGCACUUACAUUCUUGCCCUCUCUCCUUUAGAUUGGAUGUCAUGUAUAUUCAUUUCUCUGCCAGGCAGAAUGCUGCAGUCUGCUGUCUUCAAGACCACUCACCAAUUAGCUGUGUUUCCCUGCUCUUUUUAAACCUGCUUGCCACCGUUAACGUUCCUGCGGUGACAUGAAGAGCCAAAUACCAGAGUCUCUCGCCUCUUGGAGUUUAUGGGCCAAUUUCUCCCAAGAUGCGUGAGCUUGUUGUGCCGCCGCCAGUGGACUCGCCAGCGGCUGAGCAGCUCAGAGUGACAGCGACUCAGCGUCUGGAAGCCCCACUGGGUUGUGAAAUGAAGAAGGCCCUCUUUGCCCCUGAUGCAGCCCGGGCGAGCCCCGAGGCUCCAGAAGCGAGCAUCUCCCAGCUCCUAAAGAGCAGACAUAUAUCCUGCCUUUAAGACAAGACUACAAUUGCAAAUCUGAGAAUAUAAAUUACACUUUCAUCUUU